GUCAGCUACGGUCUGGGAACGUGGAGGAGGGAGGAGAGAAGCGCUGAAUGGAAAGAUUGGCGCGAGCGCUGAGCAUCUUGGUCCCCCAGUCUACCGGCCCGGGCAGCAGCGUACCAGGGAAGGACGAAAUUGAUUGAAACCCGGAAAUGAGUGUAAAUGGAACUGAAGGAAAACGAGGGAAAUUCGCAGCACCUUUAUACCCCGCACACCAGCUCAUUUCCUGUAGCUUGCUAAAGAAACCAUGCACAGAGUGA
rnacentral:lncRNA from 1 species